AGGACGAACGCUGGCGGCGUGCCUAACACAUGCAAGUCGAACGGAGCCCGCAAGGGUUCAGUGGCGAACGGGUGCGUAACACGUGAGGAACUUGUCCAUCGGCGGGGGAUAGCCGGCCCAACGGCCGGGUAAUACCGCGUACGCCGUCCGGAGCGCAUGCUCUGGCCGGGAAAGCAGCAAUGCACCGAUGGAGAGCCUCGCGGCCUAUCAGCUAGUUGGUGGGGUAAUGGCCUACCAAGGCGACGACGGGUAGCUGGUCUGAGAGGAUGACCAGCCACAUUGGGACUGAGACACGGCCCAGACUCCUACGGGAGGCAGCAGUGGGGAAUAUUGCGCAAUGGGCGAAAGCCUGACGCAGCGACGCCGCGUGUGGGAUGACGGCCUUCGGGUUGUAAACCACUGUCGCGAGGGACGAAGAUCUGACGGUACCUCGAAGGAAGCACCGGCUAACUCUGCGCCAGCAGCCGC
rnacentral:rRNA from 1 species